rnacentral:rRNA from 1 species
UCGAGGAUCUUCGGCAAUGAGCGCAAGCUUGACCGAGCGACGCCGCGUGUGCGAUGAAGGCCUUCGGGUUGUAAAGCACUGUCGAGAGGGAGAAAGGGAAACUUGAUCUAUCUCUGGAGGAAGCACGGGCUAAGUUCGUGCCAGCAGCCGCGGUAAGACGAACCGUGCGAACGUUGUUCGGAAUCACUGGGCUUAAAGGGCGCGUAGGCGGGCGAUCAAGUCCGGGGUGAAAUCCUCCAGCUUAACUGGAGAACUGCCUCGGAUACUGAUUGUCUCGAGGGGGAUAGGGGCAUGCGGAACUACGGGUGGAGCGGUGAAAUGCGUUGAUAUCCGUAGGAACUCCGGUGGCGAAGGCGGCGUGCUGGAUCCCUUCUGACGCUGAGGCGCGAAAGCCAGGGGAGCAAACGGGAUUAGAUACCCGCGUAGUCC